UGAAUGUUGAUGUGGAUGCUGACCUUGUG
rnacentral:piRNA from 1 species